rnacentral:lncRNA from 1 species
UUUUCAGAUCUGCUUUCAAAACUAACUGCAGUAUCUCUGUAUCUCUCAGUUCAGAUUCCCAAGAUAGAGAAUUUUGUUCAUCCAGAUCAUUUCUUUAAGCUCUCCCUUUGGGUCACAGGCUGUCUAAUGACUUAACCUCUCUUUGUCCAGUCAGCUACGGCCAAAGGCUGAACUUCCACCACAGAAAAUAGGAACUGCCUGCCAGUUAAGAGAAGUUUAUUCUUUUUAAGAAUUGCUUUAGCUAUUUUUUUUUUGGUCUUUCCACACAAAUUUUAAAAUAAAUGUGUCUAUACCUACAAAAAUAUCUUGCUUAGAUUUUGAUAGGAAUUGCGUUUGAUUUGUAUUUCAAAUUUGAAGAUAAUGGACAUCUUUACUAUGUUGGGUCUUCCAAUCUACAAACCCGGCUUUGCCUAACCACCAAACCCACUGGGACAGACAGACUUCCACAACAAGAUGAAACAAUACACGCACGCCAAGGUAGGACCUGGUUUGCAGGCUGGUGAUACAGCAGCUGCAAACACGGCACUCAGCUUGGGCUGCAGAAAUCAAGAUUGGCGCGGACAUACCCAGGCAAGUUCGAGAGGAGGUGUCUGCCUAGGAAGGGGAUGCAAAACUGCAUAAUUCAAAGGAGAAAUGAAAGGUACCAAAUGAAACUGCAGAAUACUUACAGAGUGCAUGAUUACCCUCUUGAAAUACCUGAAGGACUGCCACCGAAUUAGGCUUUUCUAUAUGACCCAAAGGAAAGGCUCAAGGUGCAGCUGAGUGGCAAAGACCUGAGGAACUAAGGGGAGGAGAAAACCAGAAGAUGGAAGGAACCUGGGUCUCUGAAUGACUGCCUGGAGCAUAACUCCCUUGCCAACCUGUAUUGUGCUGGGAAGUGGGUGAGAAAUGAAA